AACUUUCAACAACGGAUCUCUUGGUUCUGGCAUCGAUGAAGAACGCAGCAAAAUGCGAUAAGUAAUGUGAAUUGCAGAAUUCAGUGAAUCAUCGAAUCUUUGAACGCACAUUGCGCCCGCCAGUAU
rnacentral:rRNA from 1 species